rnacentral:tRNA from 1 species
GGCGAGUUCUACUAAGGGUUAGGUAACCAGUUUCUCAAUCUGGAAAUAGGGGUUCGAUUCCCCUACUCGCUA